rnacentral:rRNA from 1 species
GGGUCUAAUACCGGAUAGGAGCGCCUACCGCAUGGUGGGUGUUGGAAAGAUUUAUCGGUUUUGGAUGGACUCGCGGCCUAUCAGCUUGUUGGUGAGGUAAUGGCUCACCAAGGCGACGACGGGUAGCCGGCCUGAGAGGGUGACCGGCCACACUGGGACUGAGACACGGCCCAGACUCCUACGGGAGGCAGCAGUGGGGAAUAUUGCACAAUGGGCGCAAGCCUGAUGCAGCGACGCCGCGUGAGGGAUGACGGCCUUCGGGUUGUAAACCUCUUUCAGUAGGGAAGAAGCGAAAGUGACGGUACCUGCAGAAGAAGCACCGGCUAACUACGUGCCAGCAGCCGCGGUAAUACGUAGGGUGCGAGCGUUAUCCGGAAUUAUUGGGCGUAAAGAGCUCGUAGGCGGUUUGUCGCGUCUGUCGUGAAAGUCCGGGGCUUAACCCCGGAUCUGCGGUGGGUACGGGCAGACUAGAGUGCAGUAGGGGAGACUGGAAUUCCUGGUGUAGCGGUGGAAUGCGCAGAUAUCAGGAGGAACACCGAUGGCGAAGGCAGGUCUCUGGGCUGUAACUGACGCUGAGGAGCGAAAGCAUGGGGAGCGAACAGGAUUAGAUACCCUGGUAGUCCAUGCC